rnacentral:rRNA from 1 species
GUCUGCGUGGAGCCAACCUUGAAAUACCACCCUUUAAUGUUUGAUGUUCUAACGUGGACCCGUAAUCCGGGUUGCGGACAGUGUCUGGUGGGUAGUUUGACUGGGGCGGUCUCCUCCUAAAGAGUAACGGAGGAGCACGAAGGUUGGCUAAUCCUGGUCGGACAUCAGGAGGUUAGUGCAAUGGCAUAAGCCAGCUUGACUGCGAGCGUGACGGCGCGAGCAGGUGCGAAAGCAGGUCAUAGUGAUCCGGUGGUUCUGAAUGGAAGGGCCAUCGCUCAACGGAUAAAAGGUACUCCGGGGAUAACAGGCUGAUACCGCCCAAGAGUUCAUAUCGACGGCGGUGUUUGGCACCUCGAUGUCGGCUCAUCACAUCCUGGGGCUGAAGUAGGUCCCAAGGGUAUGGCUGUUCGCCAUUUAAAGUGGUACGCGAGCUGGGUUUAGAACGUCGUGAGACAGUUCGGUCCCUAUCUGCCGUGGGCGCUGGAGAACUGAGGGGGGCUGCUCCUAGUACGAGAGGACCGGAGUGGACGCAUCACUGGUGUUCGGGUUGUCAUGCCAAUGGCACUGCCCGGUAGCUAAAUGCGGAAGAGAUAAGUGCUGAAAGCAUCUAAGCACGAAACUUGCCCCGAGAUGAGUUCUCCCUGAGACUU